GUGUGUAUAGCUCAGUGGUAGAGUGCAUGCUUAGCAUGCACAAGGUCCUGGGUUCAAUCCCCAGUACCUCCU
rnacentral:tRNA from 1 species